rnacentral:rRNA from 1 species
UACGAAGGGAGCUAGCGUUGUUCGGAAUCACUGGGCGUAAAGCGCACGUAGGCGGAUGUGUCAGUCAGGGGUGAAAUCCCGGAGCUCAACUUCGGAACUGCCUUUGAUACAGCACGUCUUGAGUCCGAUAGAGGUGGGUGGAAUUCCUAGUGUAGAGGUGAAAUUCGUAGAUAUUAGGAAGAACACCAGUGGCGAAGGCGGCUCACUGGCCCGGUACUGACGCUGAGGUGCGAAAGCGUGGGGAGCAACAGGAUAGAUACCCCGGUACGUCACG